GCGGGAGUCGCCAAGCGGUAAGGCAUCAGCCUUCCAGCUUGAUAUUCGCGGGUUCGAAUCCCGUCUCCCGCU
rnacentral:tRNA from 1 species